rnacentral:ribozyme from 1 species
UGCCCAGCAACUCCUAUCCCUACCUCCUCGUGGUACUUGCCGGAGUACGAGUAACCUUGGGGAAGAUCGGGUAACCAACCCUUGGUGGGAACUUUGGUCGUAUGCUGACAGGGAAGG